AGUGAACGCUGGCGGUAGGCCUAACACAUGCAAGUCGAACGGCAGCACAGUAAGAGCUUGCUCUUACGGGUGGCGAGUGGCGGACGGGUGAGGAAUACAUCGGAAUCUACUUUUUCGUGGGGGAUAACGUAGGGAAACUUACGCUAAUACCGCAUACGACCUACGGGUGAAAGCAGGGGAUCUUCGGACCUUGCGCGAUUGAAUGAGCCGAUGUCGGAUUAGCUAGUUGGCGGGGUAAAGGCCCACCAAGGCGACGAUCCGUAGCUGGUCUGAGAGGAUGAUCAGCCACACUGGAACUGAGACACGGUCCAGACUCCUACGGGAGGCAGCAGUGGGGAAUAUUGGACAAUGGACGCAAGCCUGAUCCAGCCAUACCGCGUGGGUGAAGAGGGCCUUCGGGUUGUAAAGCCCUUUUGUUGGGAAAGAAAAGCAGCAGGUUAAUACCCCGCUGUUCUGACGGUACCCAAAGAAUAAGCACCGGCUAACUUCGUG
rnacentral:rRNA from 1 species